rnacentral:piRNA from 1 species
UGCACCAGGGUUCCAGAUGGCGUUUGGUGU